CUCACAUAGGUUAGAGAAAAAGCAAAACAUAGCUAGAUACGAGCAGAAGAGAAGAUCAGACGAGAGGAACAUAAGGCAGAAAAAAAAAGCAAGGCAGAGCAGAAACGUAGCAUUCACGUGAGUGGAAGGAAGAAAAGGAAGGAGGAAACGUGCACAUCAAUCCCUAGCUCUUCAAAUGGAGAGAGCAGACGCACAGAUGAAGCAUACAUGAAAUACGACACUGAGAGAUCUGGUAAGAUUUGGUCUUCAAUAUAAGGAAGAGAUUGAGAGUGAUCGGAGAGGAAGAAAAGAAGGGAGAAUCGAGAGUCAACAGAUAUUGAGUGAUCUAGAGAAAGAGGAGAGACUGAGAGUCAAAGGGGGACUAAGGACAAAAAAAAGAAGAACAGAGGAGACUAAGAUCAGAGAUGGAGAGAUUUCUGGCGAGGAUUUUUUGAAAAAGAGCUAGGUUUUGGGAGAACAUGAGAGAACUAAGAGGACUGAAGGGAGUCAAAUCUGGGGAUCGAAGACUUGAGGGGAAUGUCUAGAGAUUGAGGGAUCUGGGUUUUGGUUUUUUGAGAUGAUUGAGAGAGAGGGAGAGAAAACCAAAGAGAGAGAGAGAGAGAACCGAGAGAGAAUCGAGAGGUUAAGGAAUUUGGGAUUGAGGGCGAUUUUCUGGAGGAAGAAAAAGGACCGAGAAUGAGAUGGAUUCAGUGAAGAUUAGGAGUUAAAACAAGGAGCAUUGGGAAUGAGAUUGAAGCAAAGACCGAAGAAGUAGAAGGGGAGGACUGAACAAACCCAAAAACUGAAGGUGUUGAAGUCUGAAGAGGGCAUGAAAGGAAAUGCUAGAAGAGUAGCUAUGUUUGUACAAAUUAUAAUGCUAUUCUUGAGUAAAUGAAUGUAUAUUUUUGCAAUGUGUUAAAGUUUCUAACUAGGGUGUAAACAUAUACAUAUAUUGUUUUGGUGACUUGCUUAUAGUAUCUUUUAUACAUCUUUGCCAUUGGUGUAAGUGAGUGUAAAUAUGAUAGUUGGGCUUAGAUGCUAUUACAAGCAAGUGUGUAUUUAUUGUUUUGAGAAAUCUUAUUUUAUGACAAGUGAUAACUGAUAUUUCCCUA